rnacentral:lncRNA from 1 species
CAUUUUUUCAUCGGUUAUAUGAUGAAGAUAUUGUACGAGACAGUGGACAUAUUGUUAAAUGUUUAGAUUCUUUUUGUGAUCCAUUUCUCAUUUCUGAUGAGUUACGAAGAGUUUUGCUAGUGGAAGACUCAGAAAAAUAUGAAAUAUUCAGCCAACCAGAUAGAGAAGAGUUCCUGUUUUGUCUUUUCAAACAUCUUUGCCUUGGUGGAGCCCUUUGUCAAUAUGAGGAUGUGAUUAGCCCAUAUCUGGAAACAACAAAGCUUAUCUAUAAGGAUCUGGUGAGGUAAUGUUGCUAGAUCACAAUAUGUAAAUCUCUAGUUAAUAGAAUAAAUUAUUUGCUUAACCUUGA